UACAGAGGUCCCAAGCGUUGUUCGGAUUCACUGGGCGUAAAGGGUUCGUAGGCGGUCGGGUAAGGCUGAUGUGAAAUCUCACAGCUUAACUGUGAAACUGCAUUGGAUACUAUCCGGCUCGAGGAAUGGAGGGGAGACUGGAAUACUUGGUGUAGCAGUGAAAUGCGUAGAUAUGCGGAGGAACACCGAUGGCGAAGGCAAUCCCCUGGGCCUGCACUGACGCUCAUGCACGAAAGCGUGGGGAGCAAACAGG
rnacentral:rRNA from 1 species